UACGGAGGGUGCGAGCGUUGUCCGGAAUCACUGGGCGUAAAGGGCGCGUAGGUGGCGUCGCAAGUCAACGGUGAAAGCUCGACGCUCAACGUCGAGUCGGCCGUCGAGACUGCGAGGCUUGAGCACUGUAGAGGCAGAUGGAAUUCCGGGUGUAGCGGUGGAAUGCGUAGAGAUCCGGAGGAACACCAGUGGCGAAGGCGACACGCUGGGCCGUACCUGACACUGAUGCGCGACAGCAUGGGGAGCAAACAGG
rnacentral:rRNA from 1 species